AAAUAUCCCCUGCACCAACCCGGGAAGCAAAAUCAACUAGAGCGGUUGUGAAACCACAGAAACUCAUUGCUCCUUCACGCCCGAACACCUGGCACUUCGCCACACCACAACCCUCGUCUACUGUGGUCUUAUCACACAAAAGGCUAGGUGUCCAUCUUUUUUCUUAAUGACAAUUUUACCCUCUUCACCUUUUAUUUUGUUGAGCCUCAGGUUGGCCAUUUUCGUAAUAUAAAGCGGAUACACCGUCUGCAGCGGUGAAGGAGUUUAAUUUUCAAUUGCCUCUCUGCGUUCGAAGAAAACUCCGACAUAGUGUGUGAAAGCUAAAGGAGUAGAAAACAAUAAUACUAAUACUAAUAAUAAUAAUAAUAUAAUUUUAAUUGUAGAAAAAUAGAGAUAAAAAAUAACUUAGAACCGAGAAAAAUGAAGAAGUGCGAGCUAUGCAAGUUAUCGGCGAGGAGCUACUGCGAAUCGGACGAGGCCUGCCUCUGUUGGGAUUGCGAUGCUAGAGUUCAUGGAGCCAACUUUCUGGUCGCUAGACAUACGCGCAACCUCCUCUGCCAGACCUGUCAAUCUAUCACUCCUUGGAAAGCUACCGGUGUUAAACUUGGCCGCACUGUUUCCAUCUGUGAUAGAUGUGCAAAUGGAGCUAAUCGUAAAGAAGAAGAAGAAUCUGAGGAGGCUAAUAAUGAUGAUGUAAGCACUGAGGACGAUGAUGAUCUUUCCACUGGCGAUAAGGAGGAGAACGAGGGGGAUACUGAUAAUCAGGUGGUUCCGUGGUCGUCUACAACGCCGCCUCUGGCCACCAGUUCUUCCUCUUCUUCUGCUUCUAGUAGCCAAGAGAGUGUGAGUAGAUUCACUCGCAGAGUCUUUUGUGAAUCUGUGAACGUGAAAUCUUUGAAACGGACGCGUGAGAGUUCUACAGAUCUUCGGUCUACGUUUCCGGUUUCUGCUGUGCGCUCUUUUACUUUUCUUCAGUUUCUAGUUUUGAUUUUGGUUUUGCGCUUUUUUUUUUUUUUAAGGUUUCUACAGUUGCAUUUGAACUGAAUGUGGUUUUGUUCUUUAUUCAAACAAUAGAUCGAUGCCAACCACUCUUCUUCUCAACGGAGGUACGGUCGACCAGCGUUGACAACUCAGGCGAGUGGCGGGGGCGGUGACGGAGAAGCCAUUUCUGUUGACUACUCCUUGUCCUUGAGGCCUAUGAAAGACCGUAGAACUGAAACGGAGUACUCCUUUCAGGCCGGUUCGGGAUCUGUGGCGCAGUAACGGGAAAUCGAACGAAGAAUCCGAAGCCGUCGAUGCUGAUUCGUCAGGUAAUCCUAGCCGAACGAUUUGAGGUAAUUUUGGCUCGGCCUUUCCUAACAGCUGUCUAUAGUAGAGUUUUCGUUUGACCAUUAUUCAGUUAUGUAUUAAAAUUACUAUUUAGUGAGGUUUCUUCUGUUAAAAUAGCGUAUGUAACAAGGACUUUUGUUCUUAAUUUUAUAUAUAUUAAAAUAAUAAUAUAUACAUGAUAUCCAUUUUUGUUUAAUU
rnacentral:misc_RNA from 1 species